rnacentral:tRNA from 1 species
AUCAAAUUAGAGCUUGAUAGGAAGCUUUUCAUUUACACUGAGAGGAUUAUUGUGCAAUUCAAUUUAGUUUGAU